rnacentral:rRNA from 1 species
AUACGGAGGAUGCGAGCGUUGUCCGGAAUGAUUGGGCGUAAAGGGCGCGUAGGCGGCGCGGUAAGUCUGGAGUGAAAGUCCUGCUUUCAAGGUGGGAAUUGCUUUGGAUACUGCCGCGCUUGAGUGCAGGAGAGGUUAUCGGAAUUCCCGGUGUAGCGGUGAAAUGCGUAGAGAUCGGGAGGAACACCAGUGGCGAAGGCGGGUAACUGGACUGCAACUGACGCUGAGGCGCGAAAGUGUGGGGAGCAAACAGGAUUAGAUACCCUGGUAGUCCACACUGUAAACGAUGAAUACUAGGUGUAGGGGGUAUCGACUCCCUCUGUGCCGCAGUUAACACAAUAAGUAUUCUGCCUGGGGAGUACGGCCGCAAGGUUGAAACUUAAAGGAAUUGACGGGG